rnacentral:rRNA from 1 species
GACGAAGGUGGCAACCGUUGUUCGGAAUCACUGGGCAUAAAGCGCACGUAGGCGGGAGUGCAAGUCGGGUGUGAAAUCCCUCGGCCCAACCGAGGAACUGCGCCCGAAACUGCACUUCUUGAGGACAGCAGGGGAGCAUGGAAUUCCUGGUGGAGCGGUGAAAUGCGUUGAUAUCAGGAGGAACACCGGCGGCGAAGGCGAUGCUCUGGGCUGUUUCUGACGCUGAGGUGCGAAAGCCAGGGGAGCAAACGGG